rnacentral:rRNA from 1 species
AUGGCCGGCGGCGGCGGCAGCAGUGAGGAGAGGCCGGUGGUCGGCCAUCUUCCUCCUGGGUCUGGUGACGCUGGCGAUGGUGGCCUUGACCAUCCGCCUGCCGGGCCCUCAGGAUCCGGUGUUGGACUUUUUUUUUUUAUCGUAUCCGGUGUUGGAGUUGGCCAUGAGGAUCCAGUGCAUCGCCGCAGCCUGCAGCUUCUUCAUGCUCAUUGGCCGCGCUACUCGUCACGGAGCGACCACCUUAAUUCCCCUCCAAGUCCACGGACCCACCUUUCGCAGGCUUCUUCUUCUUCUUCUUCUUUGAUUCAUUUUCUUUCUUUUAUUUAUUUAUAG